ensembl:lncRNA
GUUGGGGUUGGGUUUAGGGGUUAUGGGUUAUAGGUUAGGGUUGUGGGUUAGGGUUGGGGUUGGGAUUAGGGGUUAUGGGUUAGGGUUAUGGGUUAGGGUUGGGGUUGGGGGUUAUGGGUUAUGGCUUAAGGCUGGGGUUGUGGUUAUGGGUUAUGAGUUAAGGUUAGGGUUGGAGUUGGUGUUAUGGGUUAUAGGUUAUGAGUUAGGGUUGGGAUUACGGGUUAUGGGUCAGGGUUGGGUGUUGGCGUUAUGGUUAUGGGUUAGUGUUGGGGUUAUGGGUUAUGGGUUAUGGGUUAUGGGUUAUGGGUUAGGGUUGGAGUUGGGGUUGAGGUUAUGGGUUAGGGUUAUGGGUUAUAGGUUAGUUUGAGGUUAGGAUUGGGAUUGGGGUUGGAGUUAGGGUGAGGUUUAGGGGUUAGAUUCAGGGUUAGGAUUAAGGGUUAGGGUGAAAUUUAAAGUUCCUAUUAGGAUCAGGACUGGGGC